GUGAAGGAGGAAAGAAGUCUCGCUAGCGCCUCCUGUCGGAAUGGAGUUAUGCAAAAAUACCCUGAACAGAAUCAGAUUUAUUGGCCGUGUGUUGACACACACAAGGAAUUUGUUUCCAGCAGUUUGUGACUCUCAAAGCAUGAAAAUAAGUACGCCCAAAGAACAAAGACAACUCUAAAUGAAAAGUGUAUUACACCCAAUAUUGUGCAAUUGCAAAAUCAAAGUCAAUGACAGACUCAUUCUGCCUCAGCAUCCCAUCUUCAUGCUGGGUCCAGCCAGAGGACUUCAUCCAAAUCACAUGCAGUGUUUUCCCUUCCAAGGCAAACAUUCACGGAUCGCUGGUUGAUGUUGAACCACUCACGUAUUCUGACACCACGGUGAAAGCUGACAUUGUCCCAAACCACAACAUAGACAGGAUGCACUGCCUGCUGAGGAUCCUGCUGCUCACAUUCAAACAAAACAUCCUAAAGACCACCCAGAAAGAUGUAAGAAGAUGGUCAGUGUUAUAUGGCUCCAGGGUUUCAUGACAGUGGAGAACCCCCUCCAUUGCUUAUGGCUGCACAUAGGGUGACAUUGCCACCACGCUGGCCAGGGACUCCCACAUGUAGGGAAAGUAGCGCUAUCGAUGUAGAUGUAACUAUUCUAUCUAUUCGCCCAGCGUUAUGAGAAGUUUUCGUUGUAUUUUGAAAAUCAGAGAUAUCACAUGUAGUAUUAUUAAAUACACUUGGAACCGUC